GCCUUUGUUUGGCUGGGCAGUGCUGUACUGGCUGAUGCCCCUUUAAAAGGUUCCAAACCGCAAUGUUGCCAUAGUUUUUGUUCUCUUCGUGGCCAGUUCAGAGUUACCUUCUGCAGAAGCUUUCCCUAGUCCGGGUUGAUUGCUUUCCUGUAAAGAAAGUUUCUGCCCCUUCCUUCUUUUUGACAGAUCAAGGACUGAGAAAUCUCGUGAUCCUGGCUCUAUUGCUGAGCUUUGUUCUGGGAUCGUUCAUCGUGAGCAAAAAGGUAUCUUCUGAAGCAGAAGAAUUAUUCCACUCAUGAAAAAAGGAAGUGAAAUAUAAACACACCAGUACAUGUUAUAUAAAACCAUGGGAAGAAAAGAGCACCUUAGGUAAAUAGCAAGCUACUUAUUUUAUGAUUUUUAAAUGUCACUCUUUUGUCCAAUAUUGACUUUUUUAUAUGGCGGUUGAAUUAUAGAUCUUCAAGCACCUGGGAGCCCAUGGCAGCCUUAUUUUGACACAGCUGGUCAAGUGGAGGAUUGAAGUCCCUGUAAUUAGUUGUGAGCCAAGCCAGAAUGCGAAAACUUGGUGUAGUGACUUCUCCAUCCAGGGGGUCAUUAGGAGCUCUCACAACACAAAUAAAUCAUGGAGAAACAAUACAUUAUGCUACCCGUGGAAGACAAGAGGCUGAAAUAGAGAUCUGCUGAUGGUGAUGGCCUGGCAUUCUUAACUCAGGACCAAGCUGGCUGCAUUAAUUUAAUUAACCUUUAACAAUGAAUGAAGGUUCAUUCCUGACAGGUCUGAAGAGGUGCCCAGACUUUAGCAUGUUGUUUUUAUUUUACUUUUAAAUAUAAUCUGCAGUAUUAAUUUGUUGUAGGCAUACAACACCAUGUACAAAUUCUUGUGAUGAAUCCAUUAUUCCUACCAUUUUUAACAAUCCAAUAAUGUUUGAUUCAAUGUGAAUUUUGGUCAGGUUUUAAAAUGGCAUCUUUUUGACACGGGAAAUAAUUU
rnacentral:lncRNA from 1 species